ACGAACGCUGGCGGCGUGCUUAACACAUGCAAGUCGAGCGGAAAGGCCACUUCGGUGGUACUCGAGCGGCGAACGGGUGAGUAACACGUGAGUAAUCUGCCCCUGGCUUCGGGAUAGCCACCGGAAACGGUGAUUAAUACCGGAUAUGACACGGACUCGCAUGGGUUUGUGUGGAAAGUUUUUCGGCCAGGGAUGUGCUCGCGGCCUAUCAGCUUGAUGGUGAGGUAAUGGCUCACCAUGGCUUCGACGGGUAGCCGGCCUGAGAGGGUGACCGGCCACACUGGGACUGAGACACGGCCCAGACUCCUACGGGAGGCAGCAGUGGGGAAUAUUGGACAAUGGGCGGAAGCCUGAUCCAGCAACGCCGCGUGAGGGAUGACGGCCUUCGGGUUGUAAACCUCUUUCAGUACCGACGAAGCGCAAGUGACGGUAGGUACAGAAGAAGCACCGGCCAACUACGU
rnacentral:rRNA from 1 species